rnacentral:pre_miRNA from 1 species
AACAAACCAAUUUUUCACCUUUUACCUAUAAUGUUUGACUUUUCAUCUUAUUCAAAGAAAAAUUACGAUUAACAUUUUUGUUUUUAUUAGAUGAUAAAUCAUGAAUAGUAAUUAAUGUGUGACUAAUUUUUUUUCAAUUUUUUAAAAAAAUUAAAUAAGACGGAUCUUCAAACGCUAGACACGGGAACCGAAUAGUUGAUUUAUU